AACGCACAUUGCGCCCGCUGGUAUUCCAGCGGGCAUGCCUGUUCGAGCGUCAUUUCAACCCUUAAGCCCUUGUUGCUUAGCGUUGGGAGAUCACCCCGCACCCCGCGGCGGUGGCUCCCUAAAGCGAGUGGCGGAGCCGGUCCGUGCUCUAGGCGUAGUAGAUUUCCAUCUCGCCUCUGUAGCCGGGUCUGGUUUUCCAGCCAAAAAACUAAAAGAGAAUCUUUUCUCUUUGCUUCUUUUAGGUUGACCUCGGAUCAGGUAGGAAUACCCGCUGAACUUAA
rnacentral:misc_RNA from 1 species